rnacentral:rRNA from 1 species
GCGGUCCCCAUCUAAGUGCCCUGGAACGGGACGUCAUAGAGGGUGAGAAUCCCGUAUGGGAUGGGGUGUCCGCGCCCGUGUGAAGCUCCUUCGACGAGUCGAGUUGUUUGGGAAUGCAGCUCUAAAUGGGUGGUAAAUUUCAUCUAAAGCUAAAUAUUGGCCGGAGACCGAUAGCGCACAAGUAGAGUGAUCGAAAGAUGAAAAGCACUUUGAAAAGAGAGUUAAAAAGCACGUGAAAUUGUUGAAAGGGAAGCGCUUGCGACCAGACUCGCUCGUGGGGUUCAGCCGGCAUUCGUGCCGGUGUACUUCCCCGCGAGCGGGCCAGCGUCGGUUUGGGCGGUCGGUCAAAGGCCCUCGGAAGGUAACGCCCCCUCGGGGGCGUCUUAUAGCCGAGGGUGCAAUGCGACCUGCCUGGACCGAGGAACGCGCUUCGGCUCGGACGCUGGCAUAAUGGUCGUAAGCGACCCGUCUUGAAACACGGACCAAGGAGUCUAACAUCUACGCGAGUGUUCGGGUGUCAAACCCGUGCGCGCAGUGAAAGCGAACGGAGGUGGGAACCCUUUUGGGUGCACCAUCGACCGAUCCUGAUGUCUUCGGAUGGAUUUGAGUAAGAGCGUAGCUGUUGGGACCCGAAAGAUGGUGA